GACGAACGCUGGCGGCGUGCUUAACACAUGCAAGUCGAACGAAGAGCGAUGGAAGCUUGCUUCUAUCAAUCUUAGUGGCGAACGGGUGAGUAACGCGUAAUCAACCUGCCCUUCAGAGGGGGACAACAGUUGGAAACGACUGCUAAUACCGCAUACGAUCUAAUCUCGGCAUCGAGGAUAGAUGAAAGGUGGCCUCUACAUGUAAGCUAUCACUGAAGGAGGGGAUUGCGUCUGAUUAGCUAGUUGGAGGGGUAACGGACCACCAAGGCGAUGAUCAGUAGCCGGUCUGAGAGGAUGAACGGCCACAUUGGGACUGAGACACGGCCCAGACUCCUACGGGAGGCAGCAGUGGGGAAUCUUCCGCAAUGGACGAAAGUCUGACGGAGCAACGCCGCGUGAGCGAUGACGGCCUUCGGGUUGUAAAGCUCUGUUAAUCGGGACGAAAGGCCUUCUUGCGAAUAGUGAGAAGGAUUGACGGUACCGGAAUAGAAAGCCACGGCUAACUACGUG
rnacentral:rRNA from 1 species